GUCCCUGUAACGCAAUGGAUAGCGCGUUGGACUUCUAUUCGAAAGGUGGGUUCGAAUUGCACCUGGGACG